rnacentral:lncRNA from 1 species
AAAAACGGCACGCUGCCAUUGUUGAAUGAGAAAUCUAGUGCUAUAAAAGGUCAACUUUUCAAAAACUCUGAAAAUAGAGCUUGAUGAAUAUUGCUUUUAUUCGCUUUCAGAAAUCACCCCACUUGAAGUAACAGUAAGAUGAAAAUGUAGAUCUGCGAAGAAUACAGCUCGUAGAAAAAAGAAGGAAACAGAGAUCGGAACCAAUCUUCAGGCAAAUUAUCCUCCUGUCUUUUUAAGCACAGAAACCAGAAAGGACUGACGCAGGAAGAAGAGAUUUUCUUACACCCCCAUCAUCUACCGGGAAGGAAGUCUCGGUGUAUCCUCUCUUCACCACCUCAGGGACGGAUAGGGCUUCCACUGGCAUCUUGUUUACAGACCAACAGGCUAAUGGGAACACAGGAAGGAGGCUAUGCUGCCUUGCAUCCACAGCCACUCUGACUGGCUUGCCAGCACGACAACAGUAAGACUCAAACUACCUGAACAGACAAAUGAAUCACACGUCACACUGUUAGGCAGCUAAGCACGGCAGCAACACUCUCAUUCUGUUUUCUUAAAAAAUUCCAGUAGCUUGCAUGGCAGAGAUAAAGUUUUAGCCCUUUAACAGUGUGCUCAAGCAGUUGGUUAAGCACAUUUUGAAUUGGG